rnacentral:rRNA from 1 species
AUACGGAGGAUCCGAGCGUUAUCCGGAUUUAUUGGGUUUAAAGGGUGCGCAGGCGGGAGAUUAAGUCGGCGGUGAAAUUUUGCAGCUCAGCUGUAAAAGUGCCUUCGAAACUGGUUUCCUUGAGUGUAGAUGAAGUAGGCGGAAUUUGUGGUGUAGCGGUGAAAUGCAUAGAUAUCACGAGGAACUCCGAUUGCGCAGGCAGCUUACUAAACUACUACUGACGCUCAGGCACGAAGGCGUGGGGAUCAAACAGGAUUAGAUACCCUGGUAGUCCACGCAGUAAACGAUGAUUACUAGCUGUUUGCGAUACAAUGUAAGCGGCUGAGCGAAAGCGUUAAGUAAUCCACCUGGGGAGUACGUUCGCAAGAAUGAAACUCAAAGGAAUUGGCGGGG